GGCAACUUCAGCAAUUAUUUAUAUGUGACACUAAUGUUAUAGAAAAGCUAAAUGUGCUUCACUAUUUAUACAGUGCAAGUGAUAAUGAGGAGAAACCAUGUGCUGAUCCAGCUGUCCACACAUCAUUAAGGAGUCCUUUCUGGAUCACAGUUUCUUAUUUUGGAGAGGGUUCUUCCACAUCUUCCACUGUCCUUCUGCCUCAGGUAAAUCAUUCAUGUAUAUAUGUACGUAUACAAGAUUUGGGGAGAGGGGAGUCACUUUCUAGAUAAGAACAAAUGUUAAAUCUAUCUUUUGUGCUAAGGUCCUUCUGGGUUGAGACUUGACACUUACUCUUCAACAGGCACUCUUGAGCAGUAACUUUAAACUCCAUAUAAAGACUUUUAAUGGAAGUAUUAGCAAGAAAAAAAUAACUCCUGCCUUCUGGUGAGUGACCUCGACCUCUGACCGGACCUGAGUGUCUGGAACGCAUUUUUCUGUCUGCUCACAACCAGAAAUAUCCUGUCCUAUGUGAAUACUAUAUAUCCCUUCGUUGUGAAGAUGUUUUACUCAUACAGACUAGAUCAUUUAGUGAUGGUGUUUGUAUUCCAAAUUGGAGGAUCCACAAAGAGUAGUUGGUCUAAAAAGAACUGUGUGUGUUAAGCAACCACUUAUUUGCAUGAGAACAUCUGAUUUAGGCUGUCCCUGUGAAAUAAAGAUGGCUAUAACUGCA
rnacentral:lncRNA from 1 species